GCCAAGACUCUUGGACUCCAGUUGUUUUUGGCAUGAACUGUGUGACAUGGCAAUUUCCUUCUUCUUUUUUGCAAAGGCCACGUUGAAGAAUUCACGGCCCUCCUGCAACCUCCCUUGUGUGUGUAUUACUUUCCUGACUGGUAGGGGAGGAAGAAGGGAACACUCACAUUUGGCUGCGGUUGCCAGAAACGCCUCCUUCUGCUACUUCGGAUUUUCCUGUUGAACUCUUGUCUGCCGGCCACAGCCAAGUGGUCAAGACCAGCCCCAUGGCAUAAAGGCUAGCCAAACCUUGCAAUCAGGAGAAUGAGGCUGAGGAACUUGUCUAUGAUCACUGGCUGUACUAGCUGAUGGGAGCUGGAGUCAAUGGCCUUUGGAGGACCCCAGGCCUCUAACACUGCCUUCAAAUGUAUUCCACAAUGCAAAUGAAUAAAAAGUGACUGAAAUUGGAAGAGAAAACUGAGGCCUGAUCUAGACAGCCAAAAUAAAGC